rnacentral:ncRNA from 1 species
GUGGGCCUUUGGGCCUGCGUCUGCGUGUUAAUAGUCUUUCCCGUUGGCCCGGGGAGAUGGUUAGUGAAUC